AUAAAUACAUUUUUCUUGUUGUUUUUAGAUGUGGACUUCUUGGACUAAUUACUUGCGGACCCUACACUUGUUCAGGAAUUGCUUCAAGCACCUGUACUUCAACUACUGCGACUGGAACUACUAACACAGGCUCAGUCAACAUUGGUGGAGUGACUUUAACAGGUGGUCGCUAAAACAAGAUGGAAAACUUGAAAUGAAGAUGGAUUGCUUAUGGUCAGAGAGAAAUCUUUUUAUAAUUACAAAGUUUAAAAAUUAAAUCUGUGAAUUGUACAUUUGUUUAAACUUUAUAGUGAUGAGAGAUAAACAUUGUCGUCAUAGUAGA